rnacentral:rRNA from 1 species
GGGAGGAAGGUGUGGAUGACGUCAAGUCCUCAUGGCCCUUACGGGUUGGGCUACACACGUGCUACAAUGGCAAGUAAGUGGGUUAAUCCCCGAACUUGUCUCAAUUCGGAUUGGGGUCUGCAACUCGACCCCAUGGAGUCGGAAUCGCUAGUAAUCGCGUAACAACAUGACGCGGUGAAUACGUUCCCGGGCCUUGUACACACCGCCCGU